CCUACGGGAGGCAGCAGUGAGGAAUAUUGGUCAAUGGACGAGAGUCUGAACCAGCCAAGUAGCGUGAAGGAUGAAGGUCUUCGGAUCGUAAACCUCUGUCAGCAGGGAAGAACGGUCACUGUGCUAAUCAGCAGUGAAUUGACGGUACCUGCAAAGGAAGCACCGGCUAACUCCGGGCCAGCAGCCGCGGUAAUACGGAGGGUGCGAGCGUUAAUCGGAAUUACUGGGCGUAAAGCGCUCGUAGGCGGUAUGUCAAGUCAAGGGUGAAAGCCCCGUGCUCAACGUGGGAACUGCCUUUGAAACUGGCAAACUGGAGUGUGUGAGAGGAUAGUGGAAUUCCAGGUGUAGGAGUGAAAUCCGUAGAUAUCUGGAGGAACAUCAGUGGCGAAGGCGACUAUCUGGCACAUAACUGACGCUGAGGAGCGAAAGCGUGGGUAGCAAACAGGAUUAAAUACCCCUGUAGUC
rnacentral:rRNA from 1 species